ACAAGCGAGGAGCAUGUGGUUUAAUUCGAUGAUACGCGAGGAACCUUACCUGGGCUCGAACGUAAGAUGACUGUAAGUGAAAGCUUACAUCUCUUCGGAGCAUUUUACGAGGUGCUGCAUGGUUGUCGUCAGCUCGUGCCGUGAGGUGUCGGGUUAAGUCCCAUAACGAGCGCAACCCCUACCUUUAGUUGCCAUCAGGUUAAGCUGGGGACUCUAAAGGAACUGCCUACGCAAGUAGUGAGGAAGCGGGGAUGACGUCAAAUCAGCACGGCCCUUACGUCCAGGGCUACACACGUGCUACAAUGGCCGAUACAGAGGGCAGCUACCUGGUGACAGGAUGCAAAUCUCCAAAGUCGGUCUCAGUUCGGAUCGGAGUCUGCAACCCGACUCCGUGAAGUUGGAUUCGCUAGUAAUCGCGCAUCAGCCAUGGCGCGGUGAAUACGUUCCCGGGCCUU
rnacentral:rRNA from 1 species